rnacentral:rRNA from 1 species
CCUACGGGCGGCUGCAGUGGGGAAUCUUGCGCAAUGGACGAAAGUCUGACGCAGCGACGCCGCGUGGGUGACGAAGGCCUUCGGGUUGUAAAGCCCUGUGGGCGGGAACGAACCGGUCGGGAGUGAACAUCUCCCGGCCUUGACGGUACCCGUUUAGCAAGCCUCGGCUAACUCUGUGCCAGCAGCCGCGGUAAGACAGAGGAUGCGAAUGUUGCUCGGAAGUACUGGGGCGGUAGUGUAAGUAGGCGGUGAAAGCCCGGGGCUCAACCUCGGAAGUGCACCUGAUACUGCGGAACUUGGGUCUUGAAGAGGAGAGCGGAAUUCCCGGUGUAGAGGUGAAAUUCGUAGAUAUCGGGAGGAACACCAGUGGCGAAAGCGGCUCUCUGGGCAAUGACCGACGCUGAGGCGCGAAGGCGUGGGAAGCAAACAGGAUUAGAUACCCGGGUAGUC